rnacentral:lncRNA from 1 species
AUGAGUACCACCAAAUCUUUGACAUUAGACAGUACAACAACUCACUCAACUACAACUACAGCAGCAUCAACAACAGUGCAGCCAUCGAGCACAACUGAAGAUUCAGCUAUGGCAACAUCAAGUACUACCACAACAGUUCCUUCAAACAAUUCCCAGAAAACAUCACAACUCACAGCAACAAAAACUAUGGAACCUACAACUGAAAGUCAAACAAGCCAACUUCCUUCUUCUUCAACUACAACGCCUGAUUCAACAUCCAGAGAAACCAUGAAAGCCACUGUAUCAAUAACAGAAUUAAGUACCACCACAGCUUCAAACAUAGACACUACAACACCUCAGUUUAUCACAACUGCAGCAGAAUCUACAAUCCUUGAUUCAUCUAUAACAGAAACACCAACUACAUCAACUGUCUUUUCAAGCACAUCCCAGUCAACUACACAACUUACAACAGAUAAAGUGGACUCCUCAACUAAAGGUCAAACAACCCAACUUUCUUUUGCUACAUCUACAGAACCUGGAAUAACCAUAUCUACAGUAAAAACCUCUAUACCCACAACAGAAAUGAAAACCACCACAUCUUUGACAUUAGACAGUACAACAACUCACUUAACUACAACUACAGGAGCAUCAACAACAGUGCAGCCAUCGAGCACAACUGAAGAUUCAGCUAUGGCAACAUCAAGUACUACCACAACUGUUCCUUCAACCAAUUCCCAGAAAACAUCACAACUCACAGCAACAAAAACUAUGGAACCUACAACUGAAAGUCAAACAAGCCAACUUCCUUCUUCUACAUCUACAACGCCUGAUUCAACAUCCACCGAAACCAUGAAAGCCACUGUAUCAAUAAUAGAAUUAAGUACCACCACAGCUUCAAACAUAGACACCACAACACCUCAGUUUAUCACAACUGCAGCAGAAUCUACAACCCUUGAUUCGUCUAUAACAGAAACACCAAGUACAUCAACUGUCUUUUCAAGCACAUCCCAGUCAACUACACAACUUACAACAGAUAAAGUGGACUCCUCAACUAAAGGUCAAACAACCCAACGUUCUUUUGCUACAUCUACAGAACCCGCGACAACCAUAUCUAGAGUAAAAACCUCAAUACCCACAACAGAAAUGAGUACCACCACAUCUUUGACAUUAGACAGUACAACAGCUCACUCAACUACAACUACAGCAGCAUCAACAACAGUGCAGCCAUCGAGCACAACUGAAGCUUCAGCUAUGGCAACAUCAAGUACUACCACAACUGUUCCUUCAACCAAUUCCCAGAAAACAUCACAACUCACAGCAACAAAAACUAUGGAACCUACAACUGAAAGUCAAACAAGCCAACUUCCUUCUUCUUCAACUACAACGCCUGAUUCAACAUCCAGAGAAACCAUGAAAGCCACUGUAUCAAUAACAGAAUUAAGUACCACCACAGCUUCAAACAUAGACACUACAACACCUCAGUUUAACACAACUGCAGCAGAAUCUACAACCCUUGAUUCAUCUAUAACAGAAACACCAACUACAUCAACUGUCUUUUCAAGCACAUCCCAGUCAACUACACAACUUACAACAGAUAAAGUGGACUCCUCAACUAAAGGUCAAACAACCCAACUUUCUUUUGCUACAUCUACAGAACCUGGAAUAACCAUAUCUACAGUAAAAACCUCUAUACCCACAACAGAAACGAGUACCACCAAAUCUUUGACAUUAGACAGUACAACAACUCACUCAACUACAACUACAGCAGCAUCAACAACAGUGCAGCCAUCGAGCACAACUGAAGAUUCAGCUAUGGCAACAUUAAUUAAUACCACAACUGUUCCUUCAACCAAUUCCCAGAAAUCAUCACAACUCACUGCAACAAAAAUUAUGGAACCUACAACUGAAAGCCAACUUCUUCUUGUUAAUUUUCCCACUUCUGUUUUAAUCACACCAAGUGUAACAACCACAGUGUCUACAAAAGAAAUGACAACUUCAACAGCUUUGAACUUAGACACUACAACACCUCAGUCAAAUACAAGUACAAAAGAAUCUACCACUGUUAUAAAAUCAACUGAAAGUCAACCGCCCCAGCUUCGUUCUACUACAUCUACACCAUCUGGUUCAACCACAAUAACCAUAGUGUCUACAACAGGAUUGACAACACCCACAGCUUUGACUUUAGAUACUACAGCCCAUGAGUCAACUCCAACUACAGAAGAAUCUACAACCAUUCAAUCAAUCAGCACAACUGAAGCCUCUGCUACAACAGAAUCACCUACAACAACUGUCUCUUCAACCACAUCCCAGUUAUCAACACAAAUCACACCAAGAGAAAUGGUGAAACCUACAACUGAAAGUCAAACAAGCCAACUUCCUCCUGUUACUUUUCUUGCUUCUGGUACCACCACACCAACUGUAACAACCACUGUGUCUACAAAAGAAAUGACAACAGUUUUGAACUUAAACACUACAACACCUCAGUCAAAUACAAGUACAAAAGAAUGUACCACCAUUAUAAAAUCAACUAAAAGUCAAACCCCCCAGCUUCCUUCUACUACAACCACAUCUGUACCAUCUGGUAUAACCACACAAACCACAACAACUGUAGUGUCUACAAAAGAAUUGACAACACCCACAGCUUUGACUUUAGAUACUACAGCACCCAAGUCAACUCCAACUACAGUAGAAUCUACAGUAGCAUCAAUACCAGUGCAGUCAACAAACAAUACUGAGGUUUCAGAUAUGGCAGUGUCAAGUACUAUUACAACUGUUCCUUCAACCACUUCCCACAAAAUAUCACAACUCACAACGACAAAAACUAUGGAACUUACAACAGGAAGUCAAGCAACCCAUCUGGGUUUAAGUAUAACGCCUCUUGCAACAAUUACUAAACUUGCUCCUUUAGCCAUUUCCCCAAUAAGCCCCCAAAUCACAACUGUAAAACCUCUGGACUAUACAACAAAAAGUCAAAUAACCAAAUUCCCGUCUACUACACCUACUGCACCCGAUGUAACCACGCGAAAAGAAUUAAGUAAUACUACAACUUCUAUCAGAGGAAAUACAACUUCACUGACCACAACAACAGCAGAAUCAGAAGCUGGAACUUUUAGUAUUGCAACAAACUCAAAAACUAUGGAUGAAGAUACAAGCAUUUUAGCAAAUAUAUACUGCCGCCUACUCUUCAACUCUUCCACACCCAUCACCAGUGACACCGCAGCAGUUAACACUACACGCACACUUCUGUUGUCUUUGUCUGCAAACUUCAAUCAAACAAUUCAGGUGGAGAAUGUGACAUAUGAACGUAAGUCGACUGCUAGAGUUACAAACUGUCAGAAGAUCUUUCUAGAUUUUUUCUUAAGUCUUAAAUGUCUUAAAGAAAAUUGCAUAUUUUGUUCUUUUCACAGAAAUAUCAGACACUUCAUACUCAGUCAUAAUCAGCUUAAGGCUAAACAAUGUCAGCAUGCCAAAGAAAAGUGA